UAAAUAUUAACUAUUGGAAAA
rnacentral:piRNA from 1 species